UGUCAACAAAGCGUCGAUUCAAGAAGAAAAUUCGUCAUUCAAACGCAGAAUGGCUGAUGAAGGUAGGACAAACGUGUGCAGCCAGAGUGGCAAGGCUUUCCGCCAGAGGCGAAAUUUGCGUACGCUCGAGAAAAGUCACACAGAAACGUUUCCCUAGGGGUUUCAGCUCUCGAUAGGCAUUGAUGAAGAGAGCAUAAGUUCACACUUAAACGUUCACGACAGGAGAGGGAACAAUCCUCGCACUUUCAGUUCUGACAUUUCCGGCUAUCUGGUGAUGACCCGUUACGAACUCACCGAGCACAUGCGGAGUCAUGAAGACAACCGGAGUCUGCCUGCAUACAAUGUGGUGCAUUGAAUAAGCACAGGCCAUUCCUGAAUCGGGAUAUAAGGCAACGUCGCAGGAAUGUUUGUGUAAUUUAAACCAGUGAAUACUUUGAAAAAUUGAUGAAGACAUG
rnacentral:lncRNA from 1 species